UACGCUAAACCCACUGAGCCACCCAGGCGCCCCAAGAGUUGGACGCUUAAUUGCUUAACUGACUGAGCCACCCAGACGCCCCUGGCUUAUAGAACUUUUAUCAUGUCAUUUUACAAAUGAGGAAACAGAUUUAGAGAGAUUAAUGAAUUUACCCAAGGCUGGAUGAUGGCACCGGCAUUCACCUGUACUGACCACACCAUUUGUCACCAGUUUGGGUCGCCAUAUAUACAGAUGCAUUCUCUUUAGGCUUCAUCAAAGGAUUUGUCAAGGCACAGGAAUAUUAGUUACAACAUUUGGGUGUGUUCCGUUUCACCUCCCACCGCUCCCGAGGAGUGUAGUUCGGGGUUUCCACUGUUUCUGAGAUUAAGCUUCCCUUUGGGUAAGAAAACACUGGAGCCCCCAAGGUGAGCCCUAAGUGCAACCAGCAACCAAGGCUGACGCUUCAUCAGAAGGCAUAGCGCCCAGGGCCCAUGAUACUUAUAGGGGUCCGCGGAAGUGGUGCCAUUUCUUUUAAGAUCAGAAGGAAAAAAAAUAAACUUCCGGGUCAAAAAAAUGCUUUUUUAAAUACGUAAUACUAAUAUAUUUGUCUUUAUAUCAGUGCAAUCAUAGAAGGCCGAUUUUCUUUCUUGAUUGAUUGAUUGAUUGAAGAAGCCCAUGAAAGCAACAUGCCAGGGCCCAUGAAAGUCCCCAUAGGGCCGUGCCAGCACAGGGAGGGCACUGGGCCUCUUCGCUGGCACUUUUGUUCUCAGCCAUCUCCCCAGCAUGGAAGGGAGAGAAGGCUCUGGAGUCAGACCCUCUGACUGGAGCCCUUCAAUCAGGCCAUUUGCUGAUCUCUUCAGACCCUCCCCUUCCUCACUAGCGACGUAGAACUCCUGUCAGUGUGAGGACGCAGUACAACAUGGCUGACCCGGAAUAAGGGCUCAGGGGGUGUGAGCUCUCCUCUCCACCUGUCCUGCUUCCCCAGUCGCAGAGGUGGCCAGAAGCCGCGUCUGAAAUGCAGAAUCCACGGAAAAGUAGCAUGGAAAAGGAAGAGGGACGAAUAACCCAAUGACAGGGUUACAUGCACCCAAAUAAAAAGUGCAUUUUAUUUUCAGACAACAUUGAACGCAUGCCCAUGAAUUUUUGCCUAUAACAUUCUGAAGUCUACGUGCGGUCGUGGUUUAGGAUUGAGUAAACGGGUCUAGAAGCAGACUGCCUGGCUUGGAACUUGGUUCAAUCGCUUACCAGCUAUGGAAUCUUGGGAACAUUUUUCACAGAACCAGAACAAAUAACGCUAGAGUUUGGAUGGAACCACGAAAGACCCUGGAUAGGCAAGACAGUCUUGAAAAACAAGAGCAAAGUUGGAAGGAGCAAAACCCCAGAUUUCAAGAAUCAGCCUGCGUACCUGGAACAUUUUCUGACUACUGCAGAGAGAAGUCUGGAUUUAAGGAAAGAACCAGGCACGCUGGGUUUUUUGCGGGAAGGGAACCUUCUUUCUCCAUCGACGCCGGGGCCGGGUGAGGCAGGAGAAAGACGCAGGGGGAUCUGCCUCUCUCCCUUCACAGCCCCCAGAGCAAACCCCGGAUGGGGGGGGUAGGCUUUGGGGGCCUGGGAAGUGCAGCUCAGGCUCUCCCUGGACCUUCCCUGCUCCUAAACAAUUUGGUCCGGAGCCUGCCGAUCAGCGACUGUUGUGUGAUUUUUCUUUUCCACAAAACAAUUACAAGUGCAGGAGACAGUGUGAAUACCGGCUUUGUUUGGAUACGGUAUAUUUCAGUGAAAAUCACAGUAUUUCCUCUUAUAUUUGCUCCUUUCGUCCCCUCAGCUCCAGAGCGGCCACCGCCUGAGUUUCAGGCAUUCCAGAACGGCCGAGCGCUUGUGGGCGCCCAGCGUGAGAACCUAAGAAACAGCUCCGUGAGCUCACAGCUCUUUGCUGUGCUGCAGGGGCCUUUCCUGAGGUUUAGAUUUAAAAUUCCACUUUUUAACAGAACAACACAGCUUUUGAGCAGAAAGAGGAUUUUAGAGAUCAUCAAAUAAAACGCCCAUUUCGUAGACGUGGAAACAGAGAUCCAGAAGGAUUAGAUUACUUGUUCAAGGUCACAUGCUGCAUGACUCCCAGAGCAGGACUUGAAAACUGGAUCCCCAAACGCCUACCCUAGUGGUUUUCAUUUGGAGACGUUCAAAUAACGACACUCAGGUUGUUGCCUCUUCUUGUUGUUCACUGGAUAACUUAUUUGUCUCUCAUUUUUUUUUUUUUUUUUUUUGAUUAAUCCCCAUGUGCCUGUUGCUACUUCAGGCAUCAGAUAGCCCUGCUUUCUUUGAGAUGUCACGUGUGAUUAGCGAGAUAUAGUGGCGUCUCUUGAGUUUCCGGGUAAACUGAAGCAUUGGAACCACAGGCUUUCCUCAUUGGAACUUUUUUAAACAAACAAAAAAUGCACUUAAAAAGAAGUUUCCAUUUUUAGUUCUCGUUCUGUUAGAAGCUGCCCAAUCUUAGAUGCAUUUCCAGAGAAGUCUGUGGCCCCGUUUACUGAGAUAUGAAAAACAUGUUCGGCGCAAGGUGACACGUGGGCUGUCCACGUUUUGUGCACACCCUCUGAAUGUCACACUGUGUCAAGGGCUCCACGAAAGGGUUGAGGGUCAGGCUGCCAACUGGUGACACGACUGGAGCUUCUCCCUCCUGCCUGCCUAAAUUUCAGGGGCUGUCCCCAAUCACCAGAGCGGGCGAGCCAUACGCUGGUCUAAUUCUUUUCCACUAGGAAUUUAGAGAUGCAGACAGAAGGCACAAGGCGUAGGGGUCCGCGGACGGAGGCAGUAAAUUGGGUGGCGUCAUCGUUAGGGGCUUGGGUUCCGCUAAGAGUGACCGGUGACGCGUGGGGCUAGUCUAGUACUUCCAAUCAUGCAGACUUGGCCUAAAGGCCUUUUUCUUGCCUGGCUGCUGGGUCCUUAGGCAUUAGAUUGCAGAAUGAUCCAGGACUUGGGUUUGCGGGGUUGGCUCCUGGGAUAGGAAGGUGUAUGAGCAACUAGCUGCAAGCCUAAUAAAUGGAUUUCAGGAAUUUCCAGGAAUACAUAUUCAAUAUGCCACUUUCUGUUGAAAAAUGAAUAAAUAUAGCGUGUGGGAAUGAAUGAAGCACUUAGUGAGCGUUUCUCCAUUGGCAGAGAGAUGUAGCGUAUGUGUGCUCGGAGCCUUUGGGAAAUACGGAAACAAGGAAUGCUUUGUUAAGAACUGAGAACACACUGGGAUGCUUUCUGUGUAUCACGCAAGCGCUGCAUCAUCACUCUGAAUUCAACACAUAGAUUGUUUUAUGUCCAGGAUUUCUUUUUUUUUUUUUUUUAACUCCACGUAGCCCCUUGACUUGACUUUAGACCUCCAUUUCAUGGCCAAAGCAUACAUCCUGGAGGAAUAGUUACCUUUUCUUUACUUAAAACAAGGACAACAAGAGUAUCCUGGCUGAAUGUUGUAUUUAGAAAGUGACAUUCCCACAUCUGCCUUGUGAAUUUCUUUCUUAGUCGAGUGGCCAUUAAGACGGGGAAGAUAAAGACGAGAAGAAAUAGGACUCGUUGAAGUAAAGAAUAACUUCCUUUUUAUUAGGUUUAACUUGAAACCAGGUAUCAUAUUUAUAUAAAUACUGUGGAAAAUAUUUAACCUAUUCAUAAAGGUUAAGUAACUAACUGAUAAGCUUUGUAGGCAAAGCAUGUUCAAAUGCUCCCACUAAACUCAAACCGUGCCAGGCAAUUUAUCAAAUUUUCAAAUGCAUAACCAUUAGGAAACAGGAAAGAAGUCUGAGGAACAGAAAGAAUUUCUGAUGAACAAACACAGUUGUUCAUUGUAGAAAUUGUUGUUACUUUAUAUAUCAGAGGGUGCAAAGUGAGUCAAAAAGUCAAAAUAACAGGAUUUAGAGGAAAGCCUUAAAGGAUACAAUUUAGUCUUCAGUAAAGGCUAAGAUAAAUUACUUUGGCUGCUGGCUGGAAGAAAUCAAAGUGGGGAGAUAUUUUAGCUGGUUCUCUUUCUCUGUAAACAGUACAUGAAAUGAUUAGAGUAGCAAGGUUGAGAGGUCUGGGGAUGCAAACAGAGCUUGGGGGAGACCAGAAAAACUGUUUAUAAGAAUACAAAUUAGGCAAUGAUACAUUUGUAGGUUUCUUCCUUGAAUAGGAUGACCGUAUAAUUAAUCCUCCGACCAGGGUACCGGAGAGUGGAGAUGCACCGUGUUAAUAACUGUCAGGACCACAGGCAACCCCCAGGGCUGUCAUGGGAGAUCCAGAGCCUGUGGAUGCCAUUUCUUUGAACACAAUGAAUAAAACAGGCCGUCAUCCUUUGGUUUUGUUUCUUUGGGGGGACUGGGGCUCUUGUGAACAUUUUUAAGGAUUUGUGUUAUUUCUGUGGCAAUGGAGAAAAAAAAAGUGCUCCUUAAAAUCAUCAGACAAAAUGUAUAACUAAAAAGUGAAAAUCCGGAGCACCUGGGUGGCUCAGUCCGUUAAAGCAUCUGACUUCGGCUCAGGUCACGAUCUCGAGGUUCAUAAGUUCGAGCCCUGUGUCGGGUUCUGUGCUGACAGCUCAGAGCCUGGA